rnacentral:piRNA from 1 species
AUGGGGUGUGGAGGGUCAGGUUG